GGGAAUUCUAAUGUCUCCUGAUUGGUAAAACCAGAAGCUGUUUAAAACCUUCAAAAACAACCUAACUCUAAAUUAUUGUAACAAUGGAGAAGAUUAUUGUGGCGUUGUUUGUCCUCAUGGCGAUAGUGAAAAUAGCAGAGGGUGACGUGUCGUCAACAGCUUUGGUCCCCACCACGGCUAUUAAAUGUGGACCCGAAUUACUGUGCCACUGGUCAAAGUUUGGCAAAUGUCUACUGUAUUUCACGAAGUGUGUAGUUAACGAAGUGUAUCAGGUCGGCAAACUUCUCUCCGUUAGUAACUGUCUGUAUGACUUAGCCGGUGACCUCAUUAUAGACUUUAUUCACGAAGGAAAAGACAUAAGGCACUUCGAAUACCCACGAAUAGCGGAGAAUGUUUGACGUUGUAUGGGCCUACCAGCUCAUGUGGACAUUUCAAAUAACAUUUACAACGCUUUGAAAGAGUUUAAAAGAAAAUUCAUGGAUAAAAGAUAAGAUGUUCGUAAAUCAUUGUGGAACAGUUUCUAUUUAUUCUAGUUCUUAUAUACCAUGUUUAAUUGAUCUAUAACUGUAAAGGUUACGUCACUCAAAACCACUUGAUAACACUACUGAUUCACAUAAUUAUGAUGAUGAUAAAAUCUUGAAAAGAUCCUUAGGAAGCAUAGAACGCACCCAAGCAACGAAAAUGCAGACUCGGGGUUUGACUGGAUCUGUUCAUGAGAGGUAAUGGAACGUGUAACAUCCCUCGCACAUCCAGCACCGGCUUAAGAUAGUUCAAAUGAAUGUACUCUAUGACAAACAUAUUCUGGAGUAGAUUCCUUCAAUCAAUUUUAACACUCUUAAUUGGUUAAAGACCCACCGCGACCUAGUAACCUACAUUUUUUCCACAUAACAUAAGCCCCUUCUACAUAUUUAGUACUAUGCACAGGCGUAGGAGCAGGGGGCAGUCCCCCUAAUUUAACUGAUUUUUCUUAGUAUUAACAAUAGAUAAAUUAAGAUAGGUCUGAGAGUACAUGUGGAUGCACUGAUAAGGAUUUGAUGUAGAUUUUUUAUUAAUGCAUUAUUUCAAAAGAAAUGUAAUUAAACUUUAGCCUGCUAAUUUCUAAGAUGGACUGGUCCAUUAUUCAAAUUGGGCCGUACCACUUAUCAUUCAAUUGGGUGUUCUCUGAAAAUUGACUAAAUGAAUAGCGCACAGUGUCUGAAUAGCGAAUUUAAUGACUGAAUAGCAAAUUGUGACUGAAUAGCGAACAGUGCAGAUCAUGAUCAGUCUGCACGGAUGUGCAGGGUGAUCUUGGUCUGCAAUGGCCGCAAAGGCAGAAUCUCUUGCCGCCAGCAGGCUAUAGGUUAAUGAGGAUAAUGUUGUUUUGUUUUGAUUUGUUUAUGCUAGAUCUAAAAUAUAUUGUUCCGAUUAUACUAAUGCGUUAUUAGUUUAAACCAAUGUAUCAUUUUUAGAUCAUACAGUGGCAUGUAGAUCUAUUAAAACAUAAAAUUGUG
rnacentral:lncRNA from 1 species